UUUGAAACAUGAUUUUCAUCUUCCCUCUCUAUCCAUGUAUGUAUUUGGCUCUCCUGCUCAACUUUUAUGCCUCCGGCCAUCCACUACUCCUCACUUAAAUUCAUAUUCUAGGUAGCCCUAAUUCUUAAUGUGUGUUUGUAAAACUACUGCUCUCCAUCCAUUAACGUGUGUUCGUUCCAAGCAAAAAAUGAGUGGGGUCGCUAAGAACAUGAAGACGACCUUCGAUGUUGAUGAAACAAUGAUGAGAGACAAAGAUGUAAAUUGAUCGUCAAAACCAAAAACCAGGUAACCCUUAUUCUUAACAUUUUAUGACAUCCGAUUUACUUUCUAACCCUAAUACGCUUCAACUUUCGUCGCAUGCGACCAAACCCCCGUCGACGACCUGAUAUCAAUUUGGUGAUUGGAAAGGAACGAAUACCAAUAGAUUUGAAAUUACCGAUGAACUAAAUUCCAAAUCUGUAAGUCUCUUACCUGUCUCAUGUUUUGUGAUUUAGAUCUCACCAUUCAGAUCAACUGGCUUUCGUUAUUUCUUGUGGUCUUUUAUUCGAUUCAGACUAACAUUAUGUCAUGUUGAGUGCUCUCACAUACAUCACCAUCAUAUCCCUAGUUAGCACGUAAAAUCCCAUUUUGGAAAUUGUCCUUCAUGGUGACCUUUUUUUGACCAGGGCUCAUGACAAAGCUACCAUUAAAAGUAAAGUCUUCUGCUACCAUGUUUUGCGUUCAUAUUGGCUUUUAAGGUGGAACAUUUGAGCUGUGGUUUUUCAUCUUUUAGAUUAAAAAUAUAUAGCAUAUUGGAUUUUUAAGGCAUUAAGACUAGAGGAUUGAGGAGCGGAUGGACAUGGUGCAGCUUAAUAUCUAAAAGAAAAUCUAUUUAAGGACAUCAAGAAGAAUAUAGAGUAAACAAAAAUAAAAAAUGAAUAUUUGUGAGUUCUUACCACAACCAUUAGCCAUACCAUGUCUCUGUUUUCAUCUAACAUGAUUUUAAUACAUGGAUUUGAAUGGUUAACAUGUGAAACUUAUUAUCAGACUAACAAAAAAAUUUUGGAGUCCAAAUUAUAGAUGAUUGACGUUCAUGAUUGGCUUGUAGCCACUAAAGGUA